rnacentral:misc_RNA from 1 species
GCAAAUUUAUGAACUCUGCUUCAUAAACCCAAUCGGUGUAUCUGUCCUUGUUGCCUCCGCAAGUUGGAUGCUAUUCAUCAUCUGCUCUUGUUCGCAAGGGAGCUUGCGGGAGGAUAUUUCAAAACUUGAUUUGUUUCUAUUGUCUGAUAUCUUGCAUUGCGAAAAGUAUUA